CUCGUGCAGGCCCUGAAGCAGAGAGAAGCCAUCCUGAAGCUGAUCCUGAAGAAUGAAAACGUGGACAGGCACGUGGACCUGCUGGAAGUGGCCAAAGAGACGGACGGCUUCUCGGGCAGCGACCUGAAGGAGAUGUGCCGCGAUGCCGCCCUCCUGUGCGUCCGGGAGUACGUGAAUUCUGCCUCCGAAGAGAGCCGUGAUGAAGAUGAGAUUCGGCCAGUGCAACAGCAAGACCUGCACCGGGCGAUCGAGAAGAUGAAGAAAUCCAAGGAUGCCGCUUUUCAGAAUGUUUUAACCCAUGUUUGCUUAGACUAAGAGUAAAGGCCGUUUGUUUGUAUGGUUUCCGGGCUCUGGCGUGGUGGCGUCCUCUGCCGGCUCCGAGGGGAGGCGGGUCAUGGGGACAAGGGCCGGCCGGGCUUUGGCCUGUACAUAGGUGUGAAUGCGUGCGUGCGUGUCCACUCACCCAUUUUCUAUUGACUUUCUUUUGGAGAUAUCGGAAUACAGAAGCUUUUUUUAAAUCCACCAGUUUCGGGCCACGUCUUCCGGCGCGCCCCACACCGGGCUGGGGGGAGGGUACCCCGGGGGGAGGGGCGGUCCACGGCCCCCACGCAGGCUUGUCCCACGAGCUCCCACUUGGUCAUUCCGGGCAGCCGAUGGGUUCGAGCGAGGUUGGUGGCUUGUGCCGGCGGGCAAAGGCGGCUUCCUGAACACACGCCUCAGACAGGCAGCCCUAAAACGACGGAUGUUCCAUGUCAGGCUGGACGAGUUUCUUCUGUAACUUUAACUUUUUUAUUUCUUAGAGCAUCGCUAUACAUCGUGCCCCGGGGCCGGCGCCGGCACUAGGAAGACUUCCCAGCCUCCCCCGAGUCUGCUCGGCGCCUGGGGGGCUGUUUUGUGCCGGGAAUUCUGUUAUCCAUAAUUCUGGGAAAGCCAGUUUGGGUUCGCUCAGGGCCAGGCCUGGGGCCUCAGACCCUCACUAUGGCCCUGUCCGGCCCUCAAGUGCCUUCCCAACCUGUGGCCAGGCUCCCCCCGGGACGGUACAUGUUUCUGCCAAUGGAUGACCCUCGUAUGUGGUCCUGGUGUUCUUCUGUUAACUGGAAUAUUUGAUUUUUUAGAUCCCUUCUCCUCAGUCCUAGGCACAUGGAGUUAAUCCACUUGCCCAGGGUCCCCCAGCUAGUACCCAUCUGAGGUCAAAUUUGAACCCAGAACCUCGACCCCAGGCUGCCCCUUCAGUAGUUGAGUGACUAGAAUGCCUCGUGCUGGAUAACAGAGUUUACCGUGUCUCACCUGGGUUUCAGAGUCGGAGGUAAAGAGGCUGGUGGGGAGAAGCCGACGGAGAACAACGCAGGGGCCAGCCUAACCCUCCUCCCCUCCAAUGGCACCCAAGGACCCCGUCUCCGGCGACAGGCCUGUGCUCACUUCUCACUUUGUAAAUGUCUAAUAAAGGGGUCCCUGAUCACCGACACGCUCCACCA